rnacentral:rRNA from 1 species
GCGGUGAAAUGCGUAGAUAUCAGGAGGAACACCGGUGGCGAAGGCGGAUCUCUGGGCCAUUACUGACGCUGAGGAGCGAAAGCGUGGGGAGCGAACAGGAUUAGAUACCCUGGUAGUCCACGCCGUAAACGGUGGGAACUAGGUGUUGGCGACAUUCCACGUCGUCGGUGCCGCAGCUAACGCAUUAAGUUCCCCGCCUGGGGAGUACGGCCGCUGUUCUAAAACUCAAAGGAAUUGACGG